AGUUAAAAUUCUGAUGUGAAUUGUUUCUGUCAUUCUCAUUAAAAUCCAGCAAUUAAACUUGUGUGUCCGGCUUUCUAGUAGCGGUUCAGAAUAGACGGAAGUCGAUUCGGGACUGAUUUUUCCGCUAAAUUUGAAAACUCUGAUAAAACUUUAAAUCCGUUAAAUUUCAAAGAGGUGAUCUAUUCACCCCCCCUCUCGAUCACUAGCCACACCGUCUAACAAAUGAGACCUACAAUAAUAAAAAAAAAUGCUUGUAAGUCUUAAGUUAGCUUACUUGUUUUCCAUCAGGACUCCAACUAACAGCAUAAAUACUGCCAGUAUGGCCACCUUCUGAAGACAACUCCCCAAUCUUCUCUCCAGUCUUUCCAUCGAAUAUGAUACCCUUUUUGUCAGAACUUACCGUUAAAAAUUUAUUGCCAUCUGGAGAAUAUCUUACACAAUUGACAAAAUUUGAAUGAUC